rnacentral:misc_RNA from 1 species
AAGUCGUAACAAGGUCUCCGUAGGUGAACCUGCGGAGGGAUCAUUAACGAAAUCGCACACGAGAUAUCAGCGAGAUGAAUAUGAGUUGUAAUAAGAAAAUAAUUUUUUGUUGCAACACUAUAUCACUCUCUGUAUAUUCUUAAAUAUUUACGAUAUUAAAAUUUGACAUUAAAGUGACAAUGAGAAACACUUUUAACAAUGGAUCUCUUGGCUCUU